rnacentral:rRNA from 1 species
CAGUCGCCGCGGUAAAACGGAGGGCGCGAGCGUUACCCGGAUUUACUGGGCGUAAAGGGCGUGUAGGCGGCCUGGGGCGUCCCAUGUGAAAGGCCACGGCUCAACCGUGGAGGAGCGUGGGAUACGCUCAGGCUAGAGGGUGGGAGAGGGUGGUGGAAUUCCCGGAGUAGCGGUGAAAUGCGCAGAUACCGGGAGGAACGCCGAUGGCGAAGGCAGCCACCUGGUCCACUUCUGACGCUGAGGCGCGAAAGCGUGGGGAGCAAACCGGAUUAGAUACCCCUGUAGUCCCUGUCUCUUAUAC